rnacentral:lncRNA from 1 species
UUUAAUUACAAAAGUAAAUAUAUAAUAUAAUAUUUGUUGCUGCCUUGUUCUAUAUAAAUGUUACUAACAUGCAGGUAACAUUUAUAUAUGUAUUAGUUUGAAUAAAUCAUUUUAAUAAAGUUACAUUAUAGGCAGGAAUGUUUGACUGGAAAUAUAAACGAUGUUGUACAUAAUGCAGAUAGCUUAGGCAAAAAAGAGAUUGGUGAAAUGGAGAAUGAGACUAACUAGGGUGAAAAAAAAUGAAUAUUAAUAUGUGAAUGGUACUUUGUUUAACAUCUACCUGUUUCUACAGAUACAGUACAGACGCAUUUAUAAAUGGGCUUGAUGUUUUUUUGAAUUAAAUAUGUUGUAUUGA